rnacentral:rRNA from 1 species
GGGCGUAAAGCGUGCGCAGGCGGUUCGGAAAGAAAGAUGUGAAAUCCCAGAGCUUAACUUUGGAACUGCAUUUUUAACUACCGGGCUAGAGUGUGUCAGAGGGAGGUGGAAUUCCGCGUGUAGCAGUGAAAUGCGUAGAUAUGCGGAGGAACACCGAUGGCGAAGGCAGCCUCCUGGGAUAACACUGACGCUCAUGCACGAAAGCGUGGGGAGCAAACAGGAUUAGAUACCCUGGUAGUCCACGCCCUAAACGAUGUCAACUAGCUGUUGGGGUCUUCGGACCUUGGUAGCGCAGCUAACGCGUGAAGUUGACCGCCUGGGGAGUACGGUCGCAAGAUUAAAACUCAAAGGAAUUGACGGGGACCCGCACAAGCGGUGGAUGAUGUGGAUUAAUUCGAUGCAACGCGAAAAACCUUACCUACCCUUGACAUGUCUGGAAUGCCGAAGAGAUUUGGCAGUGCUCGCAAGAGAACCGGAACACAGGUGCUGCAUGGCCGUCGUCAGCUCGUGUCGUGAGAUGUUGGGUUAAGUCCCGCAACGAGCGCAACCCUUGUCAUUAGUUGCUACGAAAGGGCACUCUAAUGAGACUGCCGGUGACAAACCGGAGGAAGGUGGGGAUGACGUCAAGUCCUCAUGGCCCUUAUGGGUAGGGCUUCACACGUCAUACAAUGGUCGGGACAGAGGGUCGCCAACCCGCGAGGGGGAGCUAAUCCCAGAAACCCGAUCGUAGUCCGGAUCGCAGUCUGCAACUCGACUGCGUGAAGUCGGAAUCGCUAGUAAUCGCGGAUCAGCAUGUCGCGGUGAAUACGUUCCCGGGUCUUGUACACACCGCCCGUCACACCAUGGGAGUGGGUUUUACCAGAAG